rnacentral:lncRNA from 1 species
CAGGGUCAGAAAAACCCUGGGGCUUGUACACAGGAAGUGUUACUUGAUGACAAAUGUUUUUAAGACAAAUUACUAUUUGCCAGAGUAGUAAUUCAGCCCUCUUCACAACUAUCAGAGAAACCUGAUGCUUGAUAGAAAAUGAUAGAAUACAGCAGUUUAGAGGGAAUUAUUAAUUGCUUUAUUUGAAAGCUGGGAAUUAAUUAUUUAAGUAUAAUUAUUAAUUAAUUGCCAUAUUGCGAACAAAAUCUAUUAGCAAAUAUCCUACUUUACUUCAACAAAGCUGUGUGGAAAGAAGUAUUAUUUCUUUUUCAUUUUUUUUUUCCUCUAUUGCAAACAGAAGCACAUUGUCCUGGACACUGUUUUUUUCUGACUCACACUUACGCAUCGGAUGGAAAGGGGACAGGUCAUUUUGGCCAAACUGUUAGAGUUAAGAGGUGAAUUUCCCAGUGCAGGUGAGAGAAAUUUCUUGGUGUUCUUUGUUGGCAGUGUUCUUCACGUUGUUUCACCCAAAUAUGUUUAUUUAAAACUCUAACAAAUUGCAGCGGCAAAGCUCUGUAAUUUACUAACCAAUUCCCUGUCCCAGGACAUGCUCUGCUCUCUGUUUCUUGCAGAGCACUCGCUCGUGGUCACAGACACUGCUUCAGCCAAGGAGGGAGAUAAAGGGCAGCAAAGGCCUUGGGAGCUGCCAGAUGGGGAGCAGUGGGCAGCAAGGAUUACUCUGUGUGUGUGUGUGCCACUGUGCCGGGAGAGCUGGGACAAAAAGGAACUGGCAGCAAAUCUGCGGUGACCAGCCAGAGCAGCAGCCUGGGAUAAGACAGCAUCCAGCCCAGAGGACUGUGGGGAAACAGGCUGAACAAGCCCAGCACCCCUCUUUUCCAUCAUGGGUCACUCAAGUGCAAAAAGGAUUGCUUCUGACCACUUUCAACAAGAAAGUGAACCACACUGAAGAAGUAGCCCAGACACCCGGCCAACAUCCCACCAUCAAGAUCAAUGGAAAUGUGCUGCAGAGAAGUGGUAAUCCCCUGAAAAAGCCCACUUAAACUCCCUGUAGAUCUUUUUGGUCUUUUAUUUCUGUCCUUCUCAAACUCUUUCUGGUGCUUAGUUCUGAAGAGACACACUGCUUUCUGGGCAGCAGGCUGCAUUACCAUCCUAAGAACACUCUGUCUCCAGCAGAUCCUCUCUCCAGUCUCCACUUGCGUGGGCUGUUGAGUGGUUAAGUGUGGAUUCAAGCCUCCUUGUCAUAGCUGGCUAGGCAGGCAUUUCAGUGGCGACACGGGGGGCAUCCUGCUGGAGAGGUGAAGGCCCUUGAGUCGGCUGGAGUGGGGGAGCAUGCAUACCUCGGGGACUUCUCUUUUCCAUCGGGCUUGACUACAAAAUGUGCUGUGGCCUUAAUCACAUACAGCUUUUGUCUGUGACACGGUAGAUAUAAUGUAAGACACAGCCUUUCUUGAACCACAGAAGGACUGUUAAGACUGUUUAUCUGCAGCUGCUUCUCCAGGAUGAGCCAUGAAGUAUACCCUAGUUAGUGAAUAGGAGGAUUUAGCUGGUUUCAGGGCUUGGGAGUAACUAACUUCUGCUGAAAUCACUGGAAACCCUCUCUGCCACAUAGAUCAGGGCUCCAAAGGCCAUGGCUUUUCACACUAAGAUGCUAUAACAAACUAUCCUGAUGCAUCCUAGCAGCCUAGAUACCAGACCACUAAAGACUGCAUGCCAAAAAUUCCUUGAUGCUUGAAUGCCAGUCUCAUGUCCAAAAGCAGCCAGACAAAUCAGUGGGAAAGCCUGAGAAAGACAUUUUCAUAUAAAAAUCUUGCCUCUCUCUUCACGUUUAUGCAGGCCACAUUUUGUGUUGCUUGAUUGUCCAAGGAAGGAAAAGCAAAGAGCAUUCAGUGAGUAGAACUAAUGUGAAAGCUGGGAUUUGGGGGGUGCUUGAAUAAAAUUGAAUAGGGAGGCA